CCAGCCAGGGGAGUGACAGCGAGUGACAGCCAGUCCACAUGGCUGGGGACACCGGGAUGGCCGGGAAGGUGGCACUGCUCCUGUGGGCCCAGACCCUCGGCCUCGCUGGCAUCCAGACCACCCAGAUCCUUGUGGAACCCCCCUGGACACUGCCAGUGCUGUGGGGCCAGGUGACACUGACCAGCCAGGGCUUGGG